rnacentral:rRNA from 1 species
CCCUUAGACGUUCUGGGCCGCACGCGCGCUACACUGACCAGUGCAACAAGCAUCCGUCCUUGGCCGACAGGCCCGGGCAAUCUUUGAACGCGGGUCGUGAUGGGGAUAGACUUUUGCAAUUUUUGGUCUUCAACGAGGAAUUCCUAGUAAACGCAAGUCAUCAACUUGCAUUGAUUACGUCCCUGCCCUUUGUACACACCGCCCGUCGCACCUACCGAUUGAAUGGUCCGGUGAAGCCUCCGGAUUGGCGCGCACCUCGGUGCCGCCGAGAAGUUGGCUAAACCUUACCAUUUAGAGGAAGGUGAAGUCGUAACA